rnacentral:RNase_P_RNA from 1 species
UGAGUAAGCUGGAUGAUUGCUCCGCCCUGGGCGGAGAGGAAAGUCCGAACACCCGCCUCCGCUUAAAGCUUCGGCGGGCAGGCCCCCAGUAACCACUAUUAAGUAUAUUGGAAGCUUGCACACCGAAGCCUUGGCGAAGGUGUCGUGGAUAGUCGCUAAAGGCGACCGAGAAUUAUUUUUGAAAGAGGCUAUAGCCUUUUAAAAAUUAAUAGCUUAGGGAUAGUGUCACAGAAACAAUACUGCCCCCACACCAUUCUGCUAAAUCGAAGUGGUUUAUUAUUUAGAAAAAAUAUAGCAGAAAGGUGUGGGGGUAAAGGUGAAAAGAGGUGAGGUAAGAGCUCACAGGCUGGCUAGGUGACUAGCUGGCGUGAAAAACCCUAUCCGGUGCAAGACCAAGUAGACCCCACACCAAUUCUAAUUUAAAUUACAUACGGUUAUUAAAAAGGAAUUGGUGUGGGGUGGGUUGGUCGCAUGAGUUCUGUAGCAAUACAGAACCAAGAUAGAUAAUCAUCCGUCUUCGUUGUUCGAACUACGACGGACAAGUCCAAUUGGUAACUUGUCGUCCGUAGCUCGGAGAGCGCAGGACGACAGAAUUCGGCUUAUAGGCUUACUUUCAGC